UUCCUUUCCAUUUACGCACCACUAUGCCUAGUCUUAUCUCUGGUUCCCGCCCACACAUCUACACGCUCCACCCAUGUACAGACUGUCUUCCUUCCUGUAACUAUCUCGGAAAGCUCGACGUGAACUUCUUCCUGUAAGCAUUUGAAUUGAAAAUCGGGCGAAAGAGAGACUCCUUCGUGAUUGGUUGAAUUGUAGCCGACUCUGCCUGUUUCUCCACCCCCAUGGUCAGACUCCUGGAAGCACUCUCUGACGGCGAGUUGCCAACAUGGAGGACGGUAUAACCCCCAUUUACAGACUCCUGGAAGAACUCUCUGACAGCGAGUUGAAUCGGUUCAAACGGUAUUUAGGCACUGAACUGUGGGAGUCAUAUAACUCCAUUCCAUGGGGCCUGCUGAAAAAGGCGGAUGUGACGGAUACUGUGGAGCUGAUGAAGCAGUACAAUGGCACUGACAACUUGCGAUACAUCACACUACUCAUUCUAGACAGGCUCCCUCGCAAGGACCUGUCUGACCGUCUUCAGAAGCCUAAGAGCGCUGCAGGGACAUUAUUGGCUGAGGAUUCUCUCAGGACAAGCAGCCUUGAAGCUGCCAUCAAAUCUGCCCCCCAGAAGUGGGUCCGCCACAGCAGGAGGUGGCAGCCUGACCUACAAAAGCUCAUGGAGUCAGACACUGUGAAGAAGGUGGGGACUCUAUUUUUCCAUGAGGAAUUGGUCAUCGCUCGUGGCAGUCAGGGGACGAACAUCUUUGUGGGACUGCGGGAGGAUGGCACUGAGGUGGCGAUUAAGAGAGUGGUCAGGUCCAACUUUGAGUGUAUGCAGAAGGAGCUCCAGAUACUCCAGGAUCCCAGGCUGGACAGUCUGUACAUCGUGCGCUACGUGGACUCGACAGAGGACGAACACUUCGGCUACAUCGCCCUGCAGCUGUGCGAGUACAGCCUGGAUGAAUACCUAAGCGAUAGGGUACCUGAGAGGAGUGAGUUGAUGCUCAAACGGAUGGCUCAAGAGGUGCUCAUGGGCCUGCAGGUCCUUCAUGGAGCUCAAGUGAUCCAUCGGGAUAUCAAGCCAC
rnacentral:lncRNA from 1 species